rnacentral:rRNA from 1 species
CAGCAGCCGCGGUAAUACAGAGGGUGCGAGCGUUAAUCGGAUUUACUGGGCGUAAAGCGUGCGUAGGCGGCUUCUUAAGUCGGAUGUGAAAUCCCUGAGCUUAACUUAGGAAUUGCAUUCGAUACUGGGAAGCUAGAGUAUGGGAGAGGAUGGUAGAAUUCCAGGUGUAGCGGUGAAAUGCGUAGAGAUCUGGAGGAGUACCGAUGGCGAAGGCAGCCAUCUGGCCUAAUACUGACGCUGAGGUACGAAAGCAUGGGGAGCAAACAGGAUUAGAUACCCCUGUAGUCCCUGUCUCUUAUAC